rnacentral:rRNA from 1 species
UAAGUUGAUAGUGAAAGCGUCCGGCUCAACCGGAUACACAUUAUCAAAACUGCCAAGCUAGAGGACAAGAGAGGUCACUGGAAUUCCUAGUGUAGGAGUGAAAUCCGUAGAUAUUAGGAGGAACACCGAUGGCGUAGGCAGGUGACUGGCUUGUUCCUGACACUAAGGCACGAAAGCGUGGGGAGCGAACGGGAUUAGAUACCCCGGUAGUCCACGCCGUAAACGAUGGAUGCUA